GUUCAAUGAGCAGUGCCAUGUCUGUGCCCAGGAUUCGAACCAAUGAAACACUGGGCCGCCUGCAGCGGAGCGCGCGAACUUAACCACUCGGCCACGGGGCCAGCCCCCAAACCAGAACACUUUUGAGAGCGAAAAAAAGUGUCAUUAGUAAUUAUGGAGGGGAACAGUUAUCCUUUACAGGAGAUGAUGCUGGGGGGCAUGCUAAAGCUCUGAAGAGAUCCUGAGGUCCUUCAGAGUGGAUCUGUUUUAUUGCCCAGGGCAAUGGCAGCCACUGAAGAACAGGGCAGACUGGUGACCAGAUCAGAUCUAGGUUUUACAGUUCUCUCUCCUCUCUUGACUUCAGAACAUUAUCCUAAAUGAAGUCCGCCAAGUUUAGAGAAUAGACCAUGUUUCUACAAUUCAUUUGAGGAUGUCAUUCAGCUUUAAUCUUUAUAAGAUCCUAACGUAAUGCUAAAAGUGCACUUAGCUAUUAAAAUCAGACGUAAAGGUGGCAGUCCGAGGAGUCCACAGUGCAAAUACCUGGUUCUAGAAUAACAUCAUUUAUAUAACAAUAUCAACAUUCAUUCAUUCAUUAUGUAUUAAACACCUAAUAUUUACUGUUUACUCCUUUAGGUACUGGGGAAACAGUGAAUGAGGCAGGCGAGGUUCCUGUCUUUUUGGAGCUCACACUCUAGCAGAAGAGAUGACAAUAAUUAAAUAAAUACGUAAGAAAAUUUCAGGUAUUGACAAAUGUUGAGGGAAAAAUCCAAUCAAGAUAAGGGGUUAGGAGGUUGGAGAGUGACUAGUAGUCGGGAGAUGGUAUUUUAAUUAAUUUGGAUAGAGAUAACCUCCUGGAAGGAGUAGGCAUUGAAUGCAGUGAGGGAGUGAGCCAUGUGCCGGGCUGAGGUUUGAAUGUUUCAAACAGAAGAAACAGGAAGUGCAAAGGUCCCGAGGUAGGAACAAGCUUGGUGAGUUGGAAGAACAGAAAGAACCUCAAAUCCUUUCUGAUCAAGCCACUCCUAACUCCAGAGCACGGCCUACAAUGCUUCACAUGAUCUGGCCUUUACCUACCUAUCCUACCUGUUAUAUAAGUCCUACAGGUUGGGAGGGAACUAUGGUCUGCAAGUGGGGUGUCCUCAAGGGGGUGAGGGAAUCCUGGUACCUCUCCUUCCUUAACCUUAUUCGCCUAACUCUCUUACUCCAACAGCAUUGUUUCAAGAGAAAGGAGGGAAGUUUAACACAUAUUGAACAUCUACAGGUAUCCUGGCAGAGUGCUUUACGAAUGCCAUUUUAUUUAAGCCUUAUGAGACUGGCAAUAUUGUCACCACUUUGCAGGUGAAGAAACAGACUCAAAAAGGUUAAAUAACUUUUCCAUGGUUAUACUCCAUUAAAAGAUAGUUUCAGGUCUUUCAUCACAAAAUGUCUUUCAAUGUCCUGAAACCAUAAGUCCUAUCACCUAGGAUAUGCCAAUAGCACUUUCUACCUAAAAGUCAGUCCCUAACAGCAACUGUAAGACACGAUUUGUAGAAAACUACCUUAUCUAUUUUCCAUGAGGAAACCUCAAAGACCAGGAUAUAAACCUUGUAUAUAGUGUAGUACCCAAAAAAAUAAGAAGAAAAGAAAGCUCACAAUAAAUAAGAAAACCAGGAUUAUAAUUCUGAUGCUGCAACUUAUUAGGCCUAGGAGCUUGGCAUGCCUCUUAGUGCCUAUGAGUCAAGUUUCCUGAUCUGCAAACUGGGUGUUAUUUAUUUAUUUUUUUUGAGGAAGGUUAGCCCUGAGCUAACGUCUGCCGCCAAUCCUCCUCUUCUCACUGAGGAAGGCUGACCCUGAGCUAACAUCCAUGCCCAUCUUCCUCUACUUUAUAUGUGGGACGCCUACCACAGCAUGACGUACUAAGCAGUGCCAUGUCUGCACCCAGGAUCCGAACCGGCGAAUCCCAGGCCGUCAAAGCGGAACGUGCGCACUUAACCGCUGCGCCACCGGCCGGCCCAGGGUGUUAGAAUUUAAGUCUAGCUCAUGUACGCGUGAAAGUGCUUUGAAAAGAGAAACGAUAUACACAUAAAAGAAAUUAUUAAGUUUCUUUAUUGUAAACGUAUUUGCCAAUAGCAAAAUGCCCUAGUGAAUGAUGGGUUCAGUUUCUGAGGUUUGGAAUAUUCAAACACACACAACUAUUGGAGUGAUAAAUAAUUGGAGACUUCUCUCCGUUGGUUAAACAGAGUACUUUUGCCCUUCCGUCUUUUUCAUCCUUGAACUUUAAAGACUAUCCAGAGGGGAUAAGGAGAUGUUUACGCUACUGCCAAGUGAGAUAAACUAUGGGCGUUUCUUCUUUUUAGGCACUAAAAAAAGAACAAUUAUUUCUAGAAACUGAAAAAAAGAGAGAAGGAAAGGAAGGAAGAAUGGACGGCAGUUGCCUGGUUCGUGGUAUCAAGAUCUGUGCAGUCCAGAGGAAACGACACGUGAGCCUCCAUCCGGAUUCUGUGACUCACGUGCUUGUGACCACCAACUUCUGGUCACCCACCAAGUUUCAAAUAAUUUCCUAGAGCAGUUUAAAUAUUUAUUUGUGUGUGUGUGUCUGUGCUUUUUUGUAAUACUUGGAUAAGGAAUAAUAGCAAUAAUGGAAACCUAAAAAUAAUUGAUGUGAUGGGGUACUGGACUGAUGAACAGACUUGUCUCUAAUUUCCUUUAUUCUUGUUACGAUAAUUGUGCAACAAAUGAAAAUAGUAAGGAAAACAGGUGACAGUGGAGAGUGGUGAAUGAGGAGGGAGGAGAGGGCAUGAGCCCGUUUUAGGAACAAGCAGUUCUCUAUAUGGCGGGCUCUCAGCUGUCCAGGUUCAAAAAACUCACAAUAAAAUGCUUUUGCAUUCAAGUUUACUAGAUUUGGAAGUAAAAGCCCUGUUCCAACCCCACUGCUUCCUGCUUCUUAGUUUCCCUGAGCUUCCAUCUCCUCCUCCACGAAUGGGAUCAUAACCUGCUCUUACCUAAUUUAUUUUGCAAAGAUGGAAAAGGAAAGUUCAAAUGAGGUAAUUAUGUGAAGAAAAAUGUUAUUUUAGGAUCCCGAGACUUUGUGUUUUUCAAUUAAUUAUAUUUGACGAUUGGAAUUACUUGGACUAGCCAUAGAAUUUCCCAGUUGCUAGGGGGAGCUUGAUGUCAUGAUGAUGUUGGUCUGUUACAGCUGAUGGUGGUUAAUUUCUCUCUUUCAGGGAGUCAGCAAAACCAUGGAAAUUUAGGCAUGGAUUUUGGAGUCAGAUAUGACGUGUGUUUGGGAGGCCUCGGACCAUUAACUCAGGCUCCCUGAGCCUGUUUCCUGUUCUGUAAAACGGGGAUAGUAAAGCCUACCUUGCAGGGCUGCUAAAAAAUUGGGAACAAUGUGUGUAAAGCACCAGACAUUGAGUUGGCCACGCAGUAAGCCCCGAAUCUAUGGUGGCUGUUAUUGUUAUAAGAGCAUCAAUUUUUAAAUAUUCUCCCUCGUCUCCCCACUCCCACAGUUCAUACAUAAAAGCACAAGGACGCGUGUUGCUUAGAAGCUCCUGAUCCACUGUUCUUCCAGUCCUUGGAAGAAUUUUCUAACUCAGUACACUAGGAGCAAGGCCAAUAUCUUAGAUGAUUCUGUUCUAGAAAGGUGCUUAAACACAGUCAAGAUAUAGUGUAGUUUUACCAAGAAAGCGGGACUUUGCUAUAAACUAUCACCCUGGAGACAAGACUGAAAAAAAAAAAUCAAGGCCACGUGCCUACCCACAGCAGGAGAAAUAUACAAAGUCAAGAUUUCUGUCAGCAUAUUAUGCUUCUGGUUGUUUACAUAAAAACAUGUCUUGGACAGUAAUUAUGCAUUUUUCAGAACUGGGCCAGCUCUGGGAAUGCAAAGCUGAGAGGCAGCAGUCACUGCGGUUACUUUCAGUUUCAACUGUCAGGUUGGGAGUUAGAGGGGCAUGGGUUUGAAUGCUAGUUUAGCACCAUAAGUGACCACUGGUCCACUGCUUACUAGCUAAGUGACGUGGUGCAAGCUGAUCAGUCUCUCGGAAAAUCAGUUUUUACAUUGGGAGUUGGAUAAAAACCAAGUGUCUGCUGCAGAGAAAAAAGAAUGAAUUUGGAAAAUGAAUUAAAGGGCCUGGGUCUGGCACAUGAUAGGUGUAGGUGUUUAGAAGAUGGUAAUAGUGGUUGUUAUUAGCAGCGAUGAGAUGAAGUCUUCAUCUUGGAGGAAUGCUCGGCAUAGCAGCAGAAAAAAUGUACGUGAAUAAAGUCCUGAAUAAAUUCAAAGUAUGUGUUCACAGUGCUUCAGUAUUAUGAAAGCAGAAAGGGUGAAGCCCAUGUGACGUGGAAAGAUCGAAGGGGGCUUCAAAGAGAAACAUUUGAGCCUCACCUUGAAAGAUGGGUAGAAAUUCUCCAAGAGGAAAGGGAGAGAAGAAGCACAAGGUGGCACAAGGGUACAGAGGAUGAGGCUUGGGCAGGGAUGUUGUCCUGUGUCUUGAGUUAGCAGUGUCACAUGGUUAAGAAUGGUGGGAGAUGAGGUGGAAAGACAGUGCUGCUCCAGGCUGGAAAUGGCUUUGUACACCCAAAUGGCGCUGACCUUGGUUUCUUGAGCAAGAGACAGCCAAUGAAGUUGUGUUGGGCGUCCUCCAUUUGCUCCUCCAGUCAGCCUUCACUUACCUCCAUUUGCUCCUGAACUAGGGGGCUGAGCUGUUGCGGACCACAUCAACGAGCUCCCUCCCGCUCAGGCUUCCAGUAGGUUUUGGCCAACGGAACACAGGGAAGAAAUCAAAAGGAAGACUGAGACUGGGGUAUAUAUUCUUUUGACAAAAGAUCACAGCAUCCAUCAGGCCGCCUUCCCACACAGCUCUCUCUUCCUGGGAUCCAUGAGCCUCUCUCCCAAGGCCUCCGACAGAGAGGUGGUGAAUGCACCUCACCGGUACUGGUACCAAGUAUGGAACCAUCAUAAGAGAUGGUUUACAAAUAGUCCUUUUAUUACCUCUUCUUAAAUUACCCAAUAUGAAGUACCAAACGUUUCCUGCCAGGCCCCUGACUGAUAUAUAACUUAAAUAGGGAAUAAAGUCAAUGUGUUUCUGGGGGAGGGCUAGGGCAGAGAGACCACGGCACUAACACCAGAAGACAUGAAGUCACAGGCCAUACAAUUUAUGUAAAGAACAAUGGUUUGUCUGUUCCUUUGUGGCUGCUAGUCUGGAACCACAUGGAGACAUGGCGUGGCUUCUUGGAGAGUGUCCUCAGCCUGGUCUCUAAGUGAGCCACUCAUGACGAGAUUGAAGGGUGACCCUGUGAAAUGCUGUUACCCAUCUCCAUGAGUGGACUGACUUCAAGAGGAAGGCCUUGAAAUAAGCCGUCUCAUGUCAAAUUGUUCUUCUUAUUAGGAUAGCUACAGAAGAUGGACAAAAGGUGGAAGUGUUGUGAGUGACUGAUGUGGCCGACUUAAGAAGAAAAGUCCCCUUUUCUAGGCCUGUUUUUCCUUUGCAAGGAACCAAUAGAGUUUCUCUUCUCCACCUUGGCCCUUCAUCUUACCCCAGGAAGGUAGGAACCGGCUACUCCCUCUCUUCCCACUGCUGUCCAUCCUGUGCUCUGGGAAGCACAGUUACUUUUUAUGGCUCUCCCCAGGGAGUUUGAAUUUUGAGCCUCAGCUUUAAUUAUGUAAUGAAAACAUAUGUUUCCUAUUGCAAGAAUUUUAGACAGCAGUGAGGAGGAGGGAGAGAUGGGGUGAGGCUGUGAGGGGAGAGAGGACUAAGUGACUUCCACUGAGCAGUAAUUACAGCGGAGAGUAGAAGACCAUUCGCAGACCUCCGAGGCUGAGCUGGAAGCAUUUCAUUCAAUAAUCAUUUAGCAUUGAGAGCUGUGUAUGCAGGGCACUGCCGAGCUUUGGGGAAAUACAAAGUGGAGUGGAAGGGGGAUAGUGUGAGAAGAGGGAUGAGACCUGUACACACAUGUGUGAGUAGGUGAAGGAACUAGGAUGCGGGUUUAGAAGACGAGAUGAGAUCAGGUUGCAGGAACUUGAUUAUAGAGACAGUAUUUGAAUCAGGUCUUGAAAGACGGGUAGACAUGGAAGUAGCAGGGGUUUUCUGGGCAGCCUUCCCCAUCCUUGCCACUUCCCUUGCCCUGCUCCCCCAAAGCAAUGAACCUGCUUCAUUGUGUUUAGAGAACAAGUUCAAAUAUUUGAUGAGUAAGUAUUACAUAGAUAAAAUUUAACCAGGAUAUGCUUCAGGGUGGUCUGUGACAAAUCAUAUUUUGCGUAGGCUUCUUCGCCUCAACCACACCAGCGGUAAAUAAAUAUUUGCUUCUAAUUACAGAAUUAAUACACAAAUAGUUUUUGAUCAUAAAAAGAUUCAAGCAUUAUAGGCAUAACAGAAGUUCUCUUUGAAAUCACCACCCCCAAACCCAUAUUUACGUCUAGAAGUAUAUUGUUCUGUGUGUGGGUCUGUGGUUGCGUAAUGGUAUCGUACUGUGUGUUCGUGCCACAGUCUGCAUUUAUUACUCAAUAUAUCUUGGAGCUCAUUCUGAGUGGCUUCACAGAGAUCUGCCCUCAUUCUUUGUAAUCCUACCUACAUUUGUUUGUUUCUCGGGAUAGUUUUGGAAACACUUUCCAUAACUCUUUUGGAAACUUUCCUUACAAUAAGAAUCACCCAGAAACAUUCAGAGCCCUCCCCAAGACUGGUUUUCCAUAGGAUUGGGAAGAAGGUUGGAGAAAUUAUUUGCAACCAACAUCCCAGCAACCUGCAGCCCCUGAAAUGGCCGUGACUGCCCCAACGAUCAAAACUUCUGUGGACAGCUGUGAAUGCAGAAGAGAAGACUGACCUGAGAAGGACAUUUUGUCCCCUGACUGUUGGUACAGAAUACCUGUGGCAGGAUGAGUGUGUCCAGAGGACACAGCCUGCCAUGUCUGAGGCUAUCCUUCUGCCUAGCAGCCUGGGUUGUGGGGUAAGAGCUGAGGCUGGAUUGGGGAAAUUGGAAUACACUAUACCUUUUUUCCUUUUGACAGUGCAACCUCUUCCUAGGGAAGGCUCAAAAACCUUGGAUAUCAUAUCAUUCCACAAAAGGAAAGUUUGCUGAGUUUGUUUUUAAUAUAUCAGAAACAUAUGUAUUAAAUUCCGUUAAAAUGCAGAGAACUUUUUAGUAUCAUAGAACUUAGUAAAUAUUUUCCACUUUAAAGUUGUGUCCUUUGACAAGUCAGAGAACACGUCUUUGGUUUCUGUCCCGUAUAUGAGAUAAAUACCACAAAUGUGUUUUGGAAAAGAAAGCAAAUUUAAAAAAGGAAAUAAAGCAAGCCAAAGACCCAUCACAAUUACUACAACAGAAUGAAGAACAAUUGGGUGUAGCAAGAAGGAACUCUUCCUUAGAUCCUAGUAGAUGUGCCGUGGGUAUGGUAAAAGCAUAACGAAACUAGCAAUUUCCACUGGACACUGUGGAGGGGAUGGGGAGAGAAAGGGAGAGGGAGGAUGGUGCCUGCUGACUGGAAAGGCCUUACUCCUGCCCUUGGGUUAAGGCUUCCUGGGAGGCCUUCACAUACCACCAAGGAGUUCCAUCCAGGGAUUAUCCAGUUUCCCAUGAUGAUGUUUAAUUUGGAGGUUUUCUCAAUUUUUGAGCCUGAGUCUCUGUUUAUGACUGAGUUCGUGCCAAAUUGUGUUACUUUCCCUGUACCUGGCUAACAGGAGAAGAUCGUUAGUAGACCUGACACAUAAGAGACACGCUAGCAGCAUGCAAAGGCCGAGGAGUUGCACAGGCAGCUGUGGAAGGAGGAUUCACAGAGAAGCAGUAAGAAAUUGGGUCAUCAACCAGCACUCAGUGGCUUGGGCAUGGGGACCCACGAGAACCUGCUGUAGCCUAUGCUCUUGAAGGGCUGAGAUUCAGUUUCAGCAAAACGUCACCAGCUGUCACAUUACGUUAGUGUUCAUUUGAAUUGCACUGGUUUUGUGAUUUCGUUUUCAUUUAAAGUUAUUCUUACUUUAUUGUUGCCUAAGUUGUAUGUAUAUAAGGAGCUAAUAUAUAAAAAUCAUAUUAUAGUAUUUAAACGACAUAAUAAAAAUAGUCUAAGUCAACACUGGA
rnacentral:lncRNA from 1 species